rnacentral:rRNA from 1 species
GUGCCAGCAGCCGCGGUAAUACGGAGGGAGCUAGCGUUGUUCGGAAUUACUGGGCGUAAAGCGCACGUAGGCGGCGAUUCAAGUCAGAGGUGAAAGCCCGGGGCUCAACCCCGGAACUGCCUUUGAAACUAGAUCGCUAGAAUCCUGGAGAGGCGGGUGGAAUUCCGAGUGUAGAGGUGAAAUUCGUAGAUAUUCGGAAGAACACCAGUGGCGAAGGCGGCCCGCUGGACAGGUAUUGACGCUGAGGUGCGAAAGCGUGGGGAGCAAACAGGAUUAGAAACCCGGGUAGUCC